rnacentral:rRNA from 1 species
CUACGGAGGGUGUAAGCGUUGUUCGGAAUCACUGGGCGUAAAGGGCGCGCAGGCGGUUUGGUAAGUCAGAUGUGAAAGCCCACGGCUCAACCGUGGAAGUGCAUUUGAAACUGUCAGACUUGAGUACUAGAGGGGAAAGUGGAAUUCCCGGUGUAGAGGUGAAAUUCGUAGAUAUCGGGAGGAAUACCGGUGGCGAAGGCGACUUUCUGGCUAGAUACUGACGCUGAGGCGCGAAAGCGUGGGGAGCAAACAGGAUUAGAAACCCUAGUAGUCC